UUAUUAAAGUUACCUAACGGUAAAAGGAAUGAGUAUGCGUCCCACUUAGUCUAGAGUGGUAAGGUAACGGCUUACCAUGGCAAUGAUGGGUAGGGGUCCUGAGAGGGAGAUCCCCCCACACUGGUACUGAGACACGGACCAGACUCCCUACGGGAGGCAGCAGUGAGGAAUAUUGGACAAUGGGCGCAAGCCUGAUCCAGCCAUGCCGCGUGCAGGAAGACGGUCCUAUGGAUUGUAAACUGCUUUUAUACAGGAAGAAACACUCCCUCGUGAGGGAACUUGACGGUACUGUAUGAAUAAGCAUCGGCUAACUCCGUG
rnacentral:rRNA from 1 species